rnacentral:rRNA from 1 species
UACGUAGGGUGCAAGCGUUAAUCGGAAUUACUGGGCGUAAAGCGUGCGUAGGCGGUUCGUUAAGUGCGUCGUGAAAGCCCCGGGCUCAACCUGGGGAAUUGGCGAUGGAAACUGGCGGGCUGGAGUAUGGCGGAGGGGGGGUGGAAUUCGCGUGUAGCAGUGAAAUGCGUAGAGAUGCGGAGGAACACCGAUGGCGAAGGCAGCCCCCUGGGCCAAUACUGACGCUCGAGGCACGAAAGCGUGGGGGAGCAAACAGG